rnacentral:rRNA from 1 species
CACCAGCGCCUCGAGUGGGGAUCGCGAUUAUUGGGUCUAAAGCGUCCGUAGCAGGCUUUGUAAAUGCUUUGUGAAAUCGGCAGGCCUAACCUGUCGGCGUGCAGAGUAGACUGCAGAACUAGAGACCGGGAGAGGUUGGAAGUAUUCUUUGGGUACCGGUAAAAUGGGUUAAUCCAAAGAGGACUACCUAUGGCGAAGGCAUCCAACCAGAACGGUUCUGACUGUGAGGGACGAAAGCUAGGGGAGCAAAACG